GAUGAACGCUAGCGGCAGGCUUAAUACAUGCAAGUCGUACGGGAUCCGAGGUAGCAAUACUUGGUGAGAGUGGCGCACGGGUGCGUAACACGUAUGCAACCUACCUAUAACCGGGACACAACCUCGAGAAAUUGAAGGCUAAUAUCCCAUAACACUGCGAGAUGGCAUCAUUUUGCAGUUAAAACUCCGGUGGUUAUAGAUGGGCAUGCGCGACAUUAGCUAGUUGGUGAGGUAACGGCCCACCAAGGCUACGAUGUCUAGGGGUUCUGAGAGGAUUAUCCCCCACACUGGUACUGAGACACGGACCAGACUCCUACGGGAGGCAGCAGUAAGGAAUAUUGGUCAAUGGGCGCAAGCCUGAACCAGCCAUGCCGCGUGAAGGAUGACGGCCCUAUGGGUUGUAAACUUCUUUUGUACGGGAAAAAACCUCUGGUCGUGAAUCAGAGCUGAUGGUACCGUAAGAAUAAGCAUCGGCUAACUCCGUG
rnacentral:rRNA from 1 species